AUGCCUAAAUCUAAAGAGUAAGGAAAAUAAUGGCUGAGGAGAAAUACCGAGGCCGCCAAGAAUAACUCUUGGGAAAAUUUUUAUAGGCCAAAGGUCGUCCCUGAGUGUCAGCUUACUUUGUUGGCCUCUUGGUGUUAUGAUCUUAAAGGCUU
rnacentral:snRNA from 1 species